rnacentral:rRNA from 1 species
AUGUCGACCGUAGCACUGCUCGUACCACCACCAACUGCCGCGAGGCCCCCGGCUCUGCGCUCCCGUCACCCGGCCUUUCUCCAAAGAUCCUGCAAGCUCGGCUCGUCGCGAGUAACCGCCGCCAUGUCGUCGUCCGAUCCGUCGCUGGCCACCGAGGCGCCCCAGGCGGCCGUCACCAGCGAGCGGAGGCUCAACCCCGACCUCCAGGAGCAGCUCGCCAAGCCAUAUCUGGCCAGAGCAAUGUCGGCGGUUGACCCGAGCCACCCGGAGGGCAGCAAGGGUCGGGACAGCAAGGGCAUGAGCGUGCUCCAGCAGCACGCCGCCUUCUUCGACCGCAACGGCGACGGGGUCAUCUACCCAUGGGAGACCUUCCAAAGCCUCCGAGCAAUCGGGCUCGGGUCCCCUUCAGCCUUCGGAACAUCCAUACUCCUCCACCUCGUCCUCACUUAUCCUACUCAACCGGGAUGGAUGCCUUCCCCUCUGCUGUCGAUCCAUAUAAAGAACAUCCACAGGGGCAAGCACGGGAGCGACUCUGAGACGUAUGACACAGAAGGGAGUUUUUCUUACCGUGCGUGUAGGUUUGAACCAGCGAAAUUCGAUGCUAUAUUCAGCAAGUUUGGCAAAACUCGGCCAAAUGCUUUGUCAGAAGAUGAGAUUAACGCCAUGCUUAAACACAACCGCAAUAUGUAUGAUUUCCUGGGCUGGGCCGCAGCCAACCUCGAAUGGAAGCUGCUGCACAAAGUGGCAAAGGAUAAAGAAGGCUUUUUGCAGCGAGAAAUCGUGAGGGGCGCCUUCGAUGGCAGCCUGUUCGAGCGCCUGCAGGAGAGCAAGAAAUCUACCUGA